rnacentral:rRNA from 1 species
CCUACGGGUGGCAGCAGUGGGGAAUAUUGGACAAUGGAGGAAACUCUGAUCCAGCAAUGCCGCGUGAAUGAAGAAGGUCUUCGGUUUGUAAAGUUCUUUAGUCAGGGAAGAAGUCAAUGACGGUACCUGAAGAAUAAGCUCCGGCUAACUACGUGCCAGCAGCCGCGGUAAUACGUAGGGCGCAAGCGUUGUUCGGAAUGACUGGGCGUAAAGGGUGCGUAGGCGGUUGUAUUAGUUAGAGGUGAAAUACCCAGGGCGUAACCCGUGUGCUGCGUCUAAAACUGUAUGACUUGAGUGCAGUAGAGGUGAGCGGAAUUCCUAGUGUAGCGGUGGAAUGCGUAGAUAUUAGGAGGAACACCAGAUGCGAAGGCGGCUAACUGGACUGCAACUGACGCUGAGGCACGAAAGUGUGGGGAGCAAACAGGAUUAGAUACCCCUGUAGUC